rnacentral:rRNA from 1 species
GAUGAACGCUGGCGGCGUGCCUAAUACAUGCAAGUCGAGCGAACGGACGAGAAGCUUGCUUCUCUGAUGUUAACGGCGGACGGGUGAGUAACACGUGGAUAACCUACCUAUAAGACUGGGAUAACUUCGGGAAACCGGAGCUAAUACCGGAUAAUAUUUUGAACCGCAUGGUUCAAAAGUAAAAGACGGUCUUGCUGUCACUUAUAGAUGGAUCCGCGCUGCAUUAGCUAGUUGGUAAGGUAACGGCUUACCAAGGCAACGAUGCAUAGCCGACCUGAGAGGGUGAUCGGCCACACUGGAACUGAGACACGGUCCGGACUCCUACGGGAGGCAGCAGUAGGGAAUCUUCCGCAAUGGGCGAAAGCCUGACGGAGCAACGCCGCGUGAGUGAUGAAGGUCUUCGGAUCGUAAAACUCUGUUAUUAGGGAAGAACAUAUGUGUAAGUAACUGUGCACAUCUUGACGGUACCUAAUCAGAAAGCCACGGCUAACUACGUG